rnacentral:rRNA from 1 species
AACGCUGGCGGCGUGCCUAAUACAUGCAAGUCGAGCGAUGAGGUCCUUCGGGAGUACAUCAGCGGCGAACGGGUGAGUAACACGUGGGUGACUUGCCCCGAAGAUGGGGAUAACCUCUGGAAACGGGGGCUAAUACCCAAUGUGCUCGGUGAUUCGGUUCAUCGAGUAAAGCUCCGGCGCUUCGGGAGAGGCCUGCGGCCCAUCAGCUAGUUGGUAGGGUAACGGCCUACCAAGGCAGAGACGGGUAGGGGGCGUGAGAGCGCGGACCCCCACACUGGCACUGAGAUACGGGCCAGACUCCUACGGGAGGCAGCAGUAAGGGAUAUUGCGCAAUGGACGAAAGUCAGACGCAGCGACGCCGCGUGGGCGAUGAAGGCCUUCGGGUUGUAAAGCCCUUUUAUGGGGGAAGAGAAAAAGGACGGUACCCCAGGAAUAAGUCCCGGCUAACUACGUGCCAGCAGCCGCGGUAAAACGUAGGGGACAAGCGUUAUCCGGAUUCACUGGGCGUAAAGAGCGUUGAGGCGGUUCCGUAAGUUGGGCGUGAAAGCUCCGGGCUUAACUCGGAGAUGUCGUUCAAUACUGCGGGGCUUGAGGACAGCAGAGGAAGGUGGAAUUCCCGGUGUAGUGGUGAAAUGCGUAGAUAUCGGGAGGAACACCCGUGGCGAAGGCGGCCUUCUGGGCUGUUCCUGACGCUGAGGGCGAAAGCUAGGGGAGCGAACGGGAUUAGAUACCCCGGUAGUCCUAGCUGUAAACGAUGGAUGCUGGGUGUGGGGGGUGUAAAUUCCCUCUGUGCCGAAGCAAACGCGUUAAGCAUCCCGCCUGGGGACUACGGCCGCAAGGCUAAAACUCAAACGAAUUGACGGGGGCCCGCACAAGCAGCGGAGCGUGUGGUUUAAUUCGAUGCUACACGAAGAACCUUACCUGGGUUUGACAUGCACGUGGUAGGGAACCGAAAGGGGACCGACCUUCGGGAGCGUGCACAGGUGCUGCAUGGCUGUCGUCAGCUCGUGCCGUGAGGUGUCGGGUUAAGUCCCGUAACGAGCGCAACCCUUGCCCUUAGUUUACAAGUGUCUAAGGGGACUGCCCGGGACAACUGGGAGGAAGGUGGGGAUGACGUCAAGUCAGCAUGGCCUUUAUAUCCAGGGCUACACACACGCUACAAUG